UCCUAGCCCCGAUUACAGCAAUUGUUUGAGCUCGUUUUUUUGUUUUUGGUUGCGGCGGCAAAGCCGCCGCAACCAAAAACAAAAAAACAGCGAGUGCGGAAAGCGGAAAUUGCU
rnacentral:misc_RNA from 1 species